GGUCUCGUGGUGGAAUAGGUAGACACAGCAGACUUAAAAUCUGCCGCCGGUUUACGGCGUGACGGUUCGAGUCCGUCCGAGACCACCA
rnacentral:tRNA from 1 species